GCUAUUGGUUGCUAAAUGUAACAAUGGAUUCAUAUUACUUACAAGGCCCCAGCCCUUUGGCUGGGUUUGAGUCAGAGCUGGUACUACAUCUUGGGUUCAGUCGAUUACAGGCAAAGAGACAGAGUUUCUCCUACAUCUGGUUUUUAUUCAGUGUAUUCCUAAGUAGGCUGGCCUGUGAUGUCAAAAAUGUCUGAAUAACACCCCACAUGUACAUAUUUUUUUUAAAGUAGACAACACAGGGUAUUCAAUAUGGGGUAUGUCCAGUCUUUUUUAGUAGCCACCUAGUUGGAAACACUGGCCAAAGUUAGCAUUUAUAUUUGUUUGUGUGUGAAAAAAGUAAAAAACUAAAUUGAAC